UCCGAGCGGGACAAUGGUUCCUGUUCUCUUGGGCAGGGCAGUGCCUGCCACUACCCCCCAUUAAACAACGUGGGCAAGUUCAGGGGUCUCAUGGAAGAUACUGAAGUCUGUGAAGUCAUUAGUCUGCCCAUCGCCUGAAAGUUCUUUGAUGGGCUAAUCAUUUACUUAACGUUUGUCCUUGGGAGCUUUUGACCGUGGCCCCUCAGAGGGAAGCCCUGUGCACACCAUUUGGGACCCUAAUCUCCACCCCCAGCCACAGAAUGUCAUCUUGGUGUGCCUGGCUGUUGGUCUAUUUUCUUUCAUCCUGCUGGACAUUUGUUGAAUCCAUUUAUUAUGAGGAUUUUUUAAUCUUUUCUGAAAGUCUUUUUCUUUCUUGUUAAUCUGAAUUGGAGAUGAGAAAGAGGUUUUCGCAUAUUUUCAGUUGUGGUCCUGGUCUGAUCUCCUCCUGGUCUGUUGUAAAGCAUAUUAGCCCGGUGGAAAUGAAGUCCAUCAGUAUAUCUACCAAGUAAUAUCUAUCCCUAUCUCCGAAUUCAAGAGGAAAUGUAUACUGAGUUUUGGAAAAUCUACCUGAAUAAACACUUGGGAAACUGAGAAAGGAAAAGACCUUGUAUUUCAGUUGAGAAGUUUUCAAAAUGGAAGAGCCAACGGAUUUGAACAUGUUGUCAGAGUACAAGGGGACCCAUGAGAGAAGGCGGGAGACACGGAGCCGGAUGGGCAGUGCGGGGCCAACCAGUCCAAGAACCUUCUCUUCGGUUCAUUGCUUUGAUGUGGAGUGAAGGGAAUUUCAACCUGCCUCACAAAGCCCUGAGAUAAUGGCUAUAAAUUCCUUAGCAUUUACUUUCCACCAAUCAUUUGAGAUGGUUCUUAAACCUCCACACCUUUCUCGUAUCCCUUCCAGGGUCCUCCCUGCUCAGGGCUGGCCUGGGGGCCAAUGUCAGACCGCAGACCGAGGGGGAGAGCCCGAAGCUCCAGCUCAGGGGGACCUGGAGUCAGGUGUUGCCCUCUUAGGGGCCUGGGCAGGUGGCAGGCAACUCACGCAGGUGACUUCCUGCCUGAGCUUCUGAGUUCCAAAGUAGUGAGCAUGUGCCAGGCUCAUGGCCGUCCAUCACCCUUUGGGGGGCCUUUCUGUAGUAGGGGAGCCCCUCACAAUGAGCUGUUACCGCCCAGCAGAGACGUCGGCUCAGGCUCAGGGCCCCUUUGCCGCAGGGAUGCAGGGAUGGACCCAGAAUCUACCCGCCAGAGGCGUCGGCAUGAGUCUGCCGCUCAGACGUGAGGAGCAUGGGAAAGUAUCCGCCUGCAUUUUGGUGGCCCUGGUGGCCACAGCAGCACUCCCUCCGGGGCUCAGGUGGAGCUGGUUUCCUUAUCUGGCCAGAUCUGUGGUUUGAAAUGGGGCUUUGUUUAUAGACAGUGAGGUCUGUUCUCCAGCCCUCCUUCCCCCGCCCCCCUCCGGCUACUUUUGUGCUCCCCACUAUCUCUGAAAUAAACUCCU